rnacentral:rRNA from 1 species
UAUCUUGGACAAUUAUCGAAAGCCUGAUCCAGCCAUGCCGCGUGUGUGAAGAAGGUCUCCGGAUUGGAAAGCACUUUAAGUUGGGAGGCAGGGGUUGAAGCUAAUACCUUCAAUCUUUGACGUUACCAACAGACUAAGCACCGGCUAACUCUGUUCCAGCGGCCGCGGUAAUACUGAGGGUGCAAGCGUUAACCGGAAUUACUGGGCGUAAAGCGCGCGUAGGUGGUUCAGUAAGAUGGAAGUGAAAUCCCCGGGCUUAACCUGGGAACUGCUUUCAUAACUGCUGAGCUAGAGUACGGUAGAGGGUAGUGGAAUUUCCUGUGUAGCGAUGAAAUGCGUAGAUAUAGGAAGGAACACCAGUGGCGAAGGCGACUACCUGGACUGAUACUGACACUGAGGUGCGAAAGCGUGGGGAGCAAACAGG